rnacentral:rRNA from 1 species
UACAGAGGGUGCGAGCGUUGUUCGGAAUUACUGGGCGUAAAGCGCGCGCAGGCGGCUCUUUAAGUCCACUGGUCAGAUGCCGGGGCUCAACCCCGUGCCCGCCAGGGAUACUGGAGAGCUGGAGACACGUAGAGGCAAGCGGAAUUCCGGGUGUAGCGGUGGAAUGCGUAGAGAUCCGGAAGAACACCGGAGGCGAAGGCGGCUUGCUGGGCGUAGUCUGACGCUGAGGCGCGAAAGCGUGGGGAGCGAACAGG